UACGUAGGGUGCAAGCGUUGUCCGGGAAUUAUUGGGCGUAAAGAGCUCGUAGGCGGUCUGUCACGUCGGCUGUGAAAUCCCGAGGCUCAACCUCGGGUCUGCAGUCGAUACGGGCAAACUAGAGUAUUGCAGGGGAGACUGGAAUUCCUGGUGUAGCGGUGAAAUGCGCAGAUAUCAGGAGGAACACCGGGUGGCGAAGGCGGGUCUCUGGGCAAUAACUGACGCUGAGGAGCGAAAGCGUGGGGAGCGAACAGG
rnacentral:rRNA from 1 species